rnacentral:rRNA from 1 species
GAUGAACGCUGGCGGCGUGCCUAAUACAUGCAAGUCGAGCGAACGGACGAGAAGCUUGCUUCUCUGAUGUUAGCGGCGGACGGGUGAGUAACACGUGGAUAACCUACCUAUAAGACUGGGAUAACUUCGGGAAACCGGAGCUAAUACCGGAUAAUAUUUUGAACCGCAUGGUUCAAAAGUGAAAGACGGUCUUGCUGUCACUUAUAGAUGGAUCUGCGCUGCAUUAGCUAGUUGGUAAGGUAACGGCUUACCAAGGCAACGAUGCAUAGCCGACCUGAGAGGGUGAUCGGCCACACUGGAACUGAGACACGGUCCAGACUCCUACGGGAGGCAGCAGUAGGGAAUCCUCCGCAAUGGGCGAAAGCCUGACGGAGCAACGCCGCGUGAGUGAUGAAGGUCUUCGGAUCGUAAAACUCUGUUAUUAGGGAAGAACAUAUGUGUAAGUAACUGUGCACAUCUUGACGGUACCUAAUCAGAAAGCCACGGCUAACUACGUG